rnacentral:rRNA from 1 species
GUGAGGAAUUUUCCGCAAUGGGCGAAAGCCUGACGGAGCAAUGCCGCGUGAAGGAUGAAGGCCUAUGGGUUGUAAACUUCUUUUCUCAGAAAAGAAUUAUGACGGUAUCUGAGGCAUAAGCAUCGGCUAACUCUGUGCCAGCAGCCGCGGUAAGACAGAGGAUGCAAGCGUUAUCCGGAAUGAUUGGGCGUAAAGCGUCUGUAGGUUGUUUAAAAAGUAUUCUGUCAAAGAUUAGGGCUUAACCCUAGAUAGGCAGAAUAAACUUUUAAGCUAGAGUUUGGUAGAGGCAGAGGGAAUUCCCGGUGGAGCGGUGAAAUGCGUAGAUAUCGGGAGGAACACCAAAGGCGAAGGCACUCUGCUGGGCCAAUACUAACACUGAGAGACGAAAGCGAGGGGAGCAAAUGGGAUUAGAUACCCCGGUAGUCC